GAAUAGGGGAGCCGGAGGGAAACCUAGUCUUAAUUGGGCGUUAAGUUGCAGGGUAUAGACCCGAAACCCGGUGAUCUAGCCAUGGGCAGGUUGAAGGUUGGGUAACACUAACUGGAGGACCGAACCGACUAAUGUUGAAAAAUUAGCGGAUGACCUGUGGCUGGGGGUGAAAGGCCAAUCAAACCGGGAGAUAGCUGGUUCUCCCCGAAAGCUAUUUAGGUAGCGCCUCGUGAAUUCAUCUCCGGGGGUAGAGCA
rnacentral:rRNA from 1 species